rnacentral:rRNA from 1 species
AUUGAACGCUGGCGGCAGGCUUAACACAUGCAAGUCGAGCGGGGUGAUGGUGCUUGCACUAUCACUUAGCGGCGGACGGGUGAGUAAUGCUUAGGAAUCUGCCUAUUAGUGGGGGACAACAUCUCGAAAGGGAUGCUAAUACCGCAUACGUCCUACGGGAGAAAGCAGGGGUACACUUAUGACCUUGCGCUAAUACAUGAGCCUAAGUCGGAUUUGCUAGUUGGUGGGGUAAAGGCCUACCAAGGCGACGAUCUGUAGCGGGUCUGAGAGGAUGAUCCGCCACACUGGGACUGAGACACGGCCCAGACUCCUACGGGAGGCAGCAGUGGGGAAUAUUGGACAAUGGGGGGAACCCUGAUCCAGCCAUGCCGCGUGUGUGAAGAAGGCCUUAUGGUUGUAAAGCACUUUAAGCGAGGAGGAGGCUCUUUUGGUUAAUACCCAAGAUGAGUGGACGUUACUCGCAGAAUAAGCACCGGCUAACUCUGUGCCAGCAGCCGCGGUAA